AACACGUAGUCAACAUGCCCAGGGGACGUGGAUAACCUCGGGAAACUGAGGAUAAACCGCGAUAGGCCAUAAUGUCUGGAAUGAUUUAUGGCUUAAAUCUACAUGGCCCCUGGAUUGGACUGCGGCCGAUCAGGCUGUUGGUGAGGUAAUGGCCCACCAAACCUAAAACCGGUACGGGCUCUGAGAGGAGAAGCCCGGAGAUGGGCACUGAGACAAGGGCCCAGGCCCUAUGGGGCGCAGCAGGCGCGAAACCUCUGCAAUAAGCGAAAGCUUGACAGGGUUAUUCUGAGUGAUUUCCGCUAAGGAAGUCUUUUGGCACCUCUAAAAAUGGUGCAGAAUAAGGGGUGGGCAAGUCUGGUGUCAGCCGCCGCGGUAAUACCAGCACCCCGAGUUGUCGGGACGAUUAUUGGGCCUAAAGCAUCCGUAGCCUGUUCUGCAAGUCCUCCGUUAAAUCCACCUGCUCAACGGAUGGGCUGCGGAGGAUACCGCAGAGCUAGGAGGCGGGAGAGGCAAACGGUACUCAGUGGGUAGGGGUAAAAUCCAUUGAUCUACUGAAGACCACCAGUGGCGAAGGCGGUUUGCCAGAACGCGCUCGACGGUGAGGGAUGAAAGCUGGGGGAGCAAACCGGAUUAGAUACCCGGGUAGUCCCAGCUGUAAACGAUGCAGACUCGGUGAUGGGUUGGCUUCGAGCCAACCCAGUGCCGCAGGGAAGCCGUUAAGUCUGCCGCCUGGGGAGUACGGUCGCAAGACUGAAACUUAAAGGAAUUG
rnacentral:rRNA from 1 species